AAUGAACGUUGGCGGCAUGGAUUAGGCAUGCAAGUCGAGCGAGAAGCUUUAGUUUGACGCUUCGGUUGAAGACUAAAGUGGACAGCGGCGAAAGGGUGAGUAACGCGUAGUUACGUGCCCCAGGGUCUAGAAUAGCCACGGGAAACUGUGGGUAAUGCUAGAUAAUAUCUCCGGAUCAAAGGUGAGAUUCCGCCCUGGGAGCGGACUGCGUCCUACUAGCUUGUUGGUGGGGUAAAGGCCUACCAAGGCUUCGAUGGGUAGCGGGCGUGAGAGCGUGGCCCGUCACACUGGGACUGAGACACUGCCCAGACACCUACGGGUGGCUGCAGUCGAGAAUCUUCGGCAAUGGACGAAAGUCUGACCGAGCGAUGCCGCGUGUGGGAUGAAGGCCUUCGGGUUGUAAACCACUGUCAGUUUGGGAGAAGGCUCCGUGAAGAGCGGAGUUUGACCUAUCUUCAGAGGAAGUCCGGGCUAAGUUCGUGCCAGCGCCGCGGUAA
rnacentral:rRNA from 1 species